rnacentral:rRNA from 1 species
UACGUAGGGUGCAGGCGUUAAUCGGAAUUACUGGGCGUAAAGCGUGCGCAGGCGGCUCCUUAAGUCAGAUGUGAAAGCCCCGGGCUUAACCUGGGAACUGCAUUUGUGACUGCAUAGCUAGAGUGUGUCAGAGGGGGGUAGAAUUCCACGUGUAGCAGUGAAAUGCGUAGAUAUGUGGAGGAAUACCGAUGGCGAAGGCAGCCCCCUGGGAUAACACUGACGCUCAUGCACGAAAGCGUGGGGAGCAAACAGG